AUGAGUAUCACACUCCUCUGUGUGGCUUCUUAUCUCCUACAGACGGGUCUGGUGAAUGGUGGUCUCAUCCAGUUUCCCAAAUCCCAGAUCCUGAGGAGAGGACAGAGAAUGACACUGGGAUGUUUCCAGGACAUGAACCACAAUGUUAUGUUAUGGUAUAGGCAAGACCUGGGACAGGGAAUGAGGCUGAUUCACUACUCACCUGGUGCAUUUUACACCGACAAAGGAGAGGUCCUUGAUGGCUACAAUGUCUCCAGACCAGAUACAAUUCUCUUCCUCCUCACACUGGAGUCGGCUGCUCCCUCCCAGACAUCAGUGUACUUCUGUGCCAGCAGUGAAUCCACAGCGCUGCUCCACCACCUCCCCUCUGCACAAGAAGCCAGGGAGGCCCAGCGCCUGGGGCUUAGUUGGUCUCUUUGUAGAUACUCAGUUCAGGGAAUCUCAGAGCUGUGA